rnacentral:misc_RNA from 1 species
UACGUAGGGGGCAAGCGUUGUCCGGAAUUAUUGGGCGUAAAGGGCACGCAGGCGGUUCCUUACGUCUGAUGUGAAAGCCCGUGGCUUAACCACGGAGGGCCAUUGGAAACUGGGGAACUAGAGAACUGUAGAGGAGAGUGGAAUUCCACGUGUAGCGGUGAAAUGCGUAGAUAUGUGGAGGAACACCGGUGGCGAAGGCGGCUCUCUGGUCGGUUUCUGACGCUGAGGUGCGAAAGCGUGGUGAGCAAACAGG